GCCGCGUCCUACGGGGCGACACCCCGGGGGCGGAGCGGCCCGCCGCUGCCCACAACCGCUCUGGCCGCGACUCUCGGGGGCUGCCGGACUAGGCCAAUGGCGGCGCGAGGGCGUGCCGCUCGCCUGGGGGCCUGGGCGGGGCGGCGCGCGCCCGGGCUGAGGUUUUGACAGCGGCCGAGCCCUGCACGCUGGCUGCCGGAACUCUGCCGGACCUCAAGGCGCCUGGAAGAGGAGAGCCCGAAGACAGAGCCAAAGCAACCCGGCUUCGUCCCCUCCGGGGCGGGAUCCUGCUUCUCCCUGGUAAAUGGGAAUGGCAGUGCCUGCUAAAGCGGAGGUCUCAGCUCCUGCCACUGUUUUAUCUGUUCCGCCAUCGGAGAGUCCUGCAAAGGCAGAGGCAGCCUUUAGCGUCUAUGUCCCCAAGGCUAGAAGAGUUCCAUGCACAGAGCCAGCGUGGAGCAACGGGGUUAUUAAAGAUGGGCCACUAUUUCACUUAUGCUUGCGUGUCUAGGUAUGGAAAUGAAAGCUCAAGAUUAAGAAAUGUAUCAAAGUUCUCAUAGUUCAGAGUGUCUAACUCCGUGACCAAGUGAUUUUCAGGAAGUGUGCCAUAACCACUCAUUGAAGAAAGAAUACUGUCUUCAACAGGUGCUAUUAGGAUAACAGGAUAGCCACAUGCAGAAGAAUGAACCCUUAUCUCACACCAUCUACAAACAGUAACUUAGGAUAGAACAGCAACCUUUGUGAAAAACAGAAAACACAGGGAUCAGUCUUCACUUUGGAUUCAACAGUGCAAUUUUUUGCUAAUUACUCUAAAUACAUGAGCAACGGAAGAAAACCUAGAUAAACUUGAGUUCAUCCAAAAUUAAAACAUUCCGGGGAUGGAGAGAUGACUCAGCGGUUAAUAGGUUCUGAGUUCAAUUCCCAGCAACCACAGGGUGGCUCACAACCAUCUACAGUGGGAUCUGAUGCCCUCUUCUGGCAUAAAUGUGUAUAUGCAGGUAGAGCACUCAUACGUAAAAUAAAUCUUUACAAAAUUAAAACAUUUCUGUAUCAGAGCAGAGUGAAAAGAUGGUUUAUCUAGGCUCUGCUAUGCAUGGCUGCUUCAAGAGAACUGCUUGGGUUCCAGAGUCAAGGCCAGCCUGGGCAACAGAGUGAAAGUUGGCUAAAAGAGAGAGCCUGGGCUACAUUGUAGGAGGACCCUUUUUGAAACAAACCUUCCCCACAUAGAAAAAAGUC